rnacentral:rRNA from 1 species
CCUACGGGAGGCAGCAGUGGGGAAUCUUGCGCAAUGGGCGAAAGCCUGACGCAGCCAUGCCGCGUGAAUGAUGAAGGUCUUAGGAUUGUAAAAUUCUUUCACCGGGGACGAUAAUGACGGUACCCGGAGAAGAAGCCCCGGCUAACUUCGUGCCAGCAGCCGCGGUAAUACGAAGGGGGCUAGCGUUGCUCGGAAUUACUGGGCGUAAAGGGAGCGUAGGCGGAUAGUUUAGUCAGAGGUGAAAGCCCAGGGCUCAACCUUGGAAUUGCCUUUGAUACUGGCUAUCUUGAGUGUGGGAGAGGUAUGUGGAACUCCGAGUGUAGAGGUGAAAUUCGUAGAUAUUCGGAAGAACACCAGUGGCGAAGGCGACAUACUGGCCCAUUACUGACGCUGAGGCUCGAAAGCGUGGGGAGCAAACAGGAUUAGAUACCCUGGUAGUCCACGCUGUAAACGAUGAGUGCUAGUUGUCGGCAGCAUGCUGUCGGUGACGCGAGCUACGACAUAAGCACUCCGCCGUCGGGAGGUACGGUCGCGAGAAUUAAACUACAAUAGAAGUUAGACGGCGUGAGACGUAGCCGACGGACGACGACGAGGGAGGUUAGG